rnacentral:rRNA from 1 species
CAGCCGCCGCGGGAAUACGAAGGGGGCUAGCGUUGUUCGGAAUUACUGGGCGUAAAGCGCACGUAGGCGGAUACUUAAGUUAGGGGUGAAAUCCCAGGGCUCAACCCUGGAACUGCCUCUAAUACUGGGUAUCUUGAGUUCGAGAGAGGUAAGUGGAAUUCCGAGUGUAGAGGUGAAAUUCGUAGAUAUUCGGAGGAACACCAGUGGCGAAGGCGGCUUACUGGCUCGAUACUGACGCUGAGGUGUGAAAGCGUGGGGAGCAAACAGGAUUAGAUACCCGCGUAGUCCCUGUCUCUUAUAC